rnacentral:rRNA from 1 species
GACGAACGCUGGCGGCGUGCUUAACACAUGCAAGUCGAACGAUGAACCAGGGCUUGCCCUGGGGAUUAGUGGCGAACGGGUGAGUAACACGUGGGCAACCUGCCCCAGACACCGGGAUAACCUCUCGAAAGAGUGGCUAAUACCGGAUACGACCACUUUGGGCAUCCAACGGUGGUGGAAAGGAUUCUGGUCUGGGAUGGGCCCGCGGCCUAUCAGCUUGGUGGUGGGGUAAUGGCCUACCAAGGCGACGACGGGUAGCCGGCCUGAGAGGGCGACCGGCCACACGGGGACUGAGACAAGGCCCAGGCUCCUACGGGAGGCAGCAGGGGGGAAUAUUGCGCAAUGGGCGAAAGCCUGACGCAGCGACGCCGCGUGAGGGACGAAGGUCUUCGGAUUGUAAACCUCUUUCAGCAGGGACGAAGCGAAAGUGACUGUACCUGCAGAAGAAGCACCGGCUAACUACGUGCCAGCAGCCGCCGUAACAC